rnacentral:rRNA from 1 species
UACGAAGGGGGCUAGCGUUGUUCGGAAUUACUGGGCGUAAAGCGCGUGUAGGCGGGUCUUUAAGUCAGGGGUGAAAUGCCAAGGCUCAACCUUGGAACUGCCUUUGAUACUGGAGAUCUUGAGUCCGGGAGAGGUGAGUGGAAUUGCGAGUGUAGAGGUGAAAUUCGUAGAUAAUUCGCAAGAACACCAGUGGCGAAGGCGGCUCACUGGCCCGGAACUGACGCUGAGACGCGAAAGCGUGGGGAGCAAACAGG